UACAGAGGGUGCGAGCGUUGUCCGGAAUCACUGGGCGUAAAGGGCGCGUAGGUGGCGACCCAAGUCCGUGGUGAAAGCUCGUCGCUUAACGACGAGUCGGCCACGGAGACUGGGUGGCUCGAGCACUGUAGGGGCAGAUGGAAUUCCGGGUGCAGCGGUGGAAUGCGUAGAGAUCCGGAAGAACACCAGUGGCGAAGGCGGUCUGCUGGGCAGUUGCUGACACUGAGGCGCGACAGCGUGGGGAGCAAACAGG
rnacentral:rRNA from 1 species